AGCUGUUUUCUGUUUGCCCUUGCCAGGCUGCCAGCUGAAUGCAAACACAUCCAGCUACUGCCGAGCAGUGAGUCCGGAGCUGCCAGCUUCACCAUCCAGCUGUUCCAGAUGCUGAAUCACUCCGUAGCCUAUCUGCACUGUGAGCUCAAUGUCUGUCUGCAGGGCCACACAGGCUGUGAGCAGGUACAUGGGCAGGGUCUUCCUUCACUGAUCUGAGCACCUUCCGAAGCUUUAAGGCUUCCUUCCCCAAGCUUGUCGAGGCUCAGGGAUGGGGCGCCUGCCAAACCCGUGCCAGUGCCUCUUGUUCAAUGUGGGUCGUGCCAUGGGUUUAAGAGGCACAGCACUACAGAGGCAGGCAGUGCUAAGAGGGCUAUGCUGGGCUCUGCUCAGUGCUCCCCAUCUCUUUCCAGGACUGCUUUGUUGGUGCGGAGCCGCUCCCCCCGCCAGAGGACAGGAACAGGCAUGGAAACCCACACAACAUGGUCUCAUUCGGCCCAGUUCUGAGAGCAAUGGGCAGCGUAGGGUACAAACCUGCAGAAGGUCCUAAUUCUGCCAUGCUGGUGCCCAUUCUGCUGGGAUCCC
rnacentral:lncRNA from 1 species